rnacentral:piRNA from 1 species
UGAGCCUUGUGGAGCCUCAGGAUGCCCAUGU